GCUGGAGCUGUUGGGAAGUGCUCCCCACGCGCUGAGCUCGCACGGUUUUCAGAGAAAUCACUGCGGGGACAUGACUUGGUGAACUCCUGGAUGAACACUUCCCCAGGGCCUGUGGUCUCUCCUGAGCAGACCAACAGAUAUUGGGAAUGUUAUUCUCAUCCCUGCGCCUUUGAGUCCUGGAGCAUCCUGCAAGCUGAGCCCAGACCAGCUAAGGAGAAGUGAGCUGGGACCACAACAGGGACAAAAAUGCAGCUUCACUGGAGGUGUGGAUGGCUCAUGGACUAUUGGGAAGGAGACAGAGCAUCUGGAAGAUCCUUGGAUGUGGAGAUCUGGGCCACCAAUGGGGUCUUCUGAGCAGCACAGACACGCAGAAUGGACUUGGCUGAAAAAUAAAAUAAGACUUUGAAAGAAGGAGAAAGAAGAAAGUUACCUGAAUAACUACAGACUUAGAGCUUCUCAUCCUGUUGUCACGGCAUGAGGUAUUUCUCUAGUUUGGAGAAAGAGCUCUGGAUUCCCAUCUUAGGAAGGAUGCAAAGAAGAAUAUAAGAUCUUCUUCAAAUUCUGAAUGAAAAGAGGCAUUUGAUACUGUUUUGGAAGUAGUUAAAUGCUGUGAACGCUUAUAGAGAUGUGUUAAUUAUGGAGUACCAGCUUCUGGCUGCAUGGAUGCUCAGCCAUGGAAGGUACUUUAGUGCACUCAAGGAGACAGUGAGAGCAGACACAUCAAAAACCGAAACAAUAGGUGGACUCUUAUGCUUUUUCUUAAACUUAAAGAGAGUGCCAGACCUGGAGGAAAAAGCUGAUAUUGUUUCCUACUGACCGAAUCAAACAGUAGAUCUCAGUUUUAUUUCUCCAGGAGGAGAGCAGGUACAUGGUGGUAUGAACAUAGCAUUGUGUUCAGGACAAAUAUUUAGGAUGCUUAUGGUGUGACAUGAACAUGAAACAGGCUGAUGGAAGCAAAAAGUCAGGUUAGAGAAUUUCCUUCAUGGUUGUCUUGAAUAAUCAAUCACCAGUGUGGUCCGUACCCCACGAUACACCUUGACUGCUACGUGUUGGGUGCAGGCUGAGUGCUGAGCUGUGCAGACUGCAGGUUGGGAAACGCUGGGGUUAAUAUGGCCUCAGGGAACCUCUGCACAUAGCUGUGGUCAGUACCUGCUGCUACAGCUUCAUCUGAAGAGACUCCAGAUAAUGCAUCUUUAUUUGUUUUGGAGGAGUUAAAUUUAAAUUCCCAAAGAAAUUCAAUGAAACUACAUAAUAGACAGCACAAAGCCCGCGAGCCCAAGCUCUGCGCGCCUGCAGACCAGAACAAAAUCCAUCUUUUUAAAACUCAGGUAUUGCAAACUGGGAGAAAGAUUUUGUGAGAAAGAUGCCUGGACUAGAGCCAGGUUUUGAAACAAUGAGGAGGCAGCCUGACCUGUUGUUCCUAA